rnacentral:rRNA from 1 species
UCGUAUAAAAUUCUAGAUAGAAAACAGAUAAUGACAACUAUCUAUCUAUUAGUCUUGACCAAAUUACGUGCCAGCAGUCGCGGCAACACGCAGAAGACAAGUGUUAUUCAUCUUUAUUCGGUUUAAAGGGUACCUAGACGGAAAAUCAAGCCAUAGUAGGUACUAAUUUUCUAGAGUUUUAUGGGAGAAAGUCGAAUACCUGGAGUAGAGAUACAAUAUGUUAAUACUGGGUAGACGGUUAACGGCGUAGGCAACUUUCUAUGUAAAAACUGACGUUGAGGGACGAAGCCCUGGGUAACGAGAAGGAUUAGAUACCCCAGUAGUCCAGGGAGACAAUGAUGAGUGCCAUAGGCUAGAAAUAUUAGUCUAUAAAUGAAAGUGUAAGCAUUCCACCUUAAGACUAAAGCGGCAACGCCCAAAUUGAAAUCAUUAGACCGUUCCUGAAACCAGUAGUGAAGUAUGUUAUUUAAUUCGAUGAUCCGCGAAUAACCUUACCACGUUUUGAAUACUACUGGUGCACGACCAAUUUAAUUUAAAUUAAAUUUAAUAGUAGUACAAGCGCUGCACGGCUGUCUUUAGUU